rnacentral:rRNA from 1 species
UCGCGAAAACUUUGCAAUAAGCGAAAGCUUGRCAGGGCUAUCCCGAGUGCCAUCCGCUGAGGAAGGCUUUUACCCAGUCUAGAACGCUGGGGGAAUAAGGAGAGGGCAAGUCUGGUGUCAGCCGCCGCGGUAAUACCAGCUCUUCGAGUGGUGUGGACGUUUAUUGGGCCUAAAGCAUCCGUAGCUGGCUAAGUUAGUCCCUUGUUAAAUCCACCGAAUUAAUCGUUGGAUUGCGAGGGAUACUGCUUGGCUAGGGGACGAGAGAGGCAGACGGUAUUUUCGGGGUAGGG